rnacentral:misc_RNA from 1 species
AGCCGUGCUCGGGCCGGGCCAGCCCGGCACGAACCGUUGGACAUGUAUAAUUUGAGAUAGCUUGCUGCCGGACGCAACUCUACUAGCUACUACUACUGUGUGGCAUUUAGCGUUUCUAAGCUCUCAUUAUGUAGCCGGCCCAACUUGUCCGUUGCGCCACUAGAGAGGUCCACACCUUUCCCGAUAAACAAACAUAUUACGCCAAAGGAAAGGGAAAAAAAACCGUUCUAAUCAUCGCACAACGUGCACUCGGACGGAGCGGGGGGGGGGGGGGGGGGGGGGGGGGGGGGGGGGGGAGGGGAGAGGAGAGGGGAAAAAGAAAAAGAUCUCCUCCGAAAUUCGAUCGCGCAGCGUCGUGCAGCAUGCACGUCACCAUCGACUCCACUACGGAAAAGGUCUCUCGGCGUCGGCGGGCAUCGUCACCGGUGCGGUUUUUCCGGUCGUCUCUGCGUCUGCGUGUGCCAGGAGCGGCGGCCGCCGCCAGCUCGUCCCCUGGGCCACCUAGUAGCGCGCGGAGCAGGAGGGACAGGGACAAUGCAAGGGAUUGGGAUAGGAGCGGCCAGCAGUAGUAGCGAUAGCAUAGCAGCAGUGUGUAGAAAAAAAUCAUGCCAGCAAAGGCGAGACGACGGCAGGCAGGGAAACGUGGAGAACUGUGUGUGUCGUGUCGUCUCAAUCAUUUUUGCGUGCAGUGGGAUGGUGCCAAGCUGCAGCGCGGCGGGGGAUGGUGCUUACUUGUUGCCGAGCGUGGCGUGGAGGCUCAUCACCGUCUCCUCCUCCUCCGGGGAGAACAUGCCGUGCUUCAGCCCCGGCCGAAGGUAGUUGAUCCACCGCAGCCUGCAGCUCUUGCCGUUCCGCUGGAGCCCUGUGCCGACGCCACAGAAUUCCUCAGUUUCCAGACCAAUGCGCGCGCGUUUGUUUAUGGUCUGAUGAAAAAACUA